rnacentral:rRNA from 1 species
UGCGUAGGCGGGUCUUUAAGUCAGGGGUGAAAUCCUGGAGCUCAACUCCAGAACUGCCUUUGAUACUGAGGAUCUUGAGUACGGGAGAGGUGAGUGGAACUGUGAGUGUAGAGGUGAAAUUCGUAGAUAUUCGCAAGAACACCAGUGGCGAAGGCGGCUCACUGGCCCGUUACUGACGCUGAGGCACGAAAGCGUGGGGAGCAAACA